GGCCCUAUGGCGCAAUGGUAGCGCGUCAGAUUCCAGACCUGAAGGUUAGCCGUUCGAGUCGGCUUGGGGUCA